AUUGAACGCUGGCGGAAUGCUUUACACAUGCAAGUCGAACGGCAGCACGGACUUCGGUCUGGUGGCGAGUGGCGAACGGGUGAGUAAUGUAUUGGAACGUGCCCAGUCGUGGGGGAUAACGUAGUGAAAAUUACGCUAAUACCGCAUACGAUCUAUGGAUGAAAGCGGGGGAUCGCAAGACCUCGCGCGAUUGGAGCGGCCGAUAUCAGAUUAGGUAGUUGGUGGGGUAAAGGCCCACCAAGCCGACGAUCUGUAGCUGGUCUGAGAGGCCGACCAGCCACACUGGAACUGAGACACGGUCCAGACUCCUACGGGAGGCAGCAGUGGGGAAUUUUGGACAAUGGGCGAAAGCCUGAUCCAGCCAUUCCGCGUGCAGGAUGAAGGCCCUCGGGUUGUAAACUGCUUUUGUACAGAACGAAAAGGUUUCUACUAAUACUAGGAGCUCAUGACGGUACUGUAAGAAUAAGCACCGGCUAACUACAUGCCAGCCGCCGCCGUAA
rnacentral:rRNA from 1 species